GAUGAACGCUGGCGGCGUGCUUAACACAUGCAAGUCGAGCGAAGCACUUCGUUUUGAAUCUUCGGAGGAAGAACGGAAUGACUGAGCGGCGGACGGGUGAGUAACGCGUGGGCAACCUGCCUCAUACAGGGGGAUAACAGUUAGAAAUGACUGCUAAUACCGCAUAAGACCGCGGUACCGCAUGGUACAGCGGUAAAAACUCCGGUGGUAUGAGAUGGGCCCGCGUCUGAUUAGCUAGUUGGCGGGGUAACGGCCCACCAAGGCGACGAUCAGUAGCCGACCUGAGAGGGUGACCGGCCACAUUGGGACUGAGACACGGCCCAA
rnacentral:rRNA from 1 species